rnacentral:rRNA from 1 species
AGAACGAACGCUGGCGGCAGGCUUAACACAUGCAAGUCGAACGCUUCCUUCGGGGAGAGUGGCAGACGGGUGAGUAACACGUGGGAACGUACCCCUUUGUUCGGAAUAACCCUGGGAAACUAGGGCUAAUACCGGAUACGGCCGAGAGGCGAAAGGUUUACCGCAGAGGGAUCGGCCCGCGUCCGAUUAGCUAGUUGGUGAGGUAAUGGCUCACCAAGGCAUCGAUCGGUAGCUGGUCUGAGAGGAUGACCAGCCACAUUGGGACUGAGACACGGCCCAAACUCCUACGGGAGGCAGCAGUGGGGAAUAUUGGACAAUGGGCGCAAGCCUGAUCCAGCCAUGCCGCGUGAGUGAUGACGGCCUUAGGGUUGUAAAGCUCUUUUACCUGGGAAGAUCAUGACGGUACCAGGAGAAUAAGCCCCGGCUAACUUCGUGCCAGCAGCCGC